CUCGCCCCAGGGGCUGUCUCAGUUUUAUAUGUAAAUAAAUCAUUUCCAGAGAUUGCCGGGAUCCCAGCAGGUUGCUGCUAAAAUGUUUGAAGUGGGUCCUUCGCCACUGGGAACACUGGCACCUGAUUUACAAUAACGGGCUCUGCAUGGGGAGAGAUGAAACCUCAGUUACAGCCGGGACUGGGCUCCAGGAUGCAGACAUCACCGGUGAUGGACAGCAAGAGCUCGGGUUGCAAUAGUGUGUGCUGGAUGAGCUGUGUAUGUAUCUCAACCUUGGUCCAGUGCCUCAUGCCUGGUCAGCCAGUCUAGCUGUGUCCAUCCUGAUUCAGGGCUCUGGACCUGCCUACUGGAGCUGGGGGCUGAACUCUUCAGUUUACUGAGUCCACAGCAGAUCUGGAGUCAUCAGAUUGGUCCAUGUCUAUGUUAGAGGGGGGUGUUCUGGAUGUACAAGGGGAAACUGAGGCACUGGAAGGGAAGACUUGGGAGCGUGUGGGUUAUGCCCACUGGGAAACCAUGCUGUCACCAUUGCUGUCCAUGGUGGGCAGAGAAGACACAAAACUCCAGGGGUAUGCGGUGUGCUGGAGUGUUAGCUACACUUGCCUCCACAGCUAGCUUUUGACAUGUGUAUGGAGGAUCUGAGCUCAGGCCCUUGUGUGUAUACAGCGGGCAUUUGGCCCAUCGAGCCAUCUCCCCACACCCUCAGGAAGAAAUUUUGCGGAAACCUAGAGCAGGAUCAAAUCCAUCUCCCUGAUGACCAGCUCAGUGCUUGCUCUCAGGGUUUGUUGAAUGACUCAGUGAGCAUGGAAAGGGCUACAUAGACUGCAGAGGACCUGCUGCUUAUUUUGUUAAGUGUCCAGUGUGGGGGACCUAUCCUUUCCAAGGUGAUGACCCUCGCCAGACCUCUCCAACUGCCAGGAGAUCGGACAGAUGAAGACUGUCCUGUCUGCCACCCUGGAGACAAAUCCAGCUUUAUCCUAGUGGGAUUUAAAAAGACUGGAUGCUUUGAACAUGAACCAUGCUGCUGUCAGGUGCAUGGCGGGGUGGGGGGGUCAGCCCAGCCCAGACACUUAAUGUUGACCUAGCACCUGAGUUUGCCACAAAGCUUGGGUCAUGGCCAUGGUCAAGAGGAAGUGGUUGGUGCUGGGAAUGAGUCUCCUGGGGAUGCUGGGAGGACUGGAUCAUCUCAGCUGGAUGCUGGGAGGAUGUGGACCAUCUCAGCUGGAUGCUGGGAGGACUGGACCAUCUCAGCUGCUUCUCAGUUUUACCACACGGAGGGGGAAGCCAGGAGGAGCCUGGGGAACAGGAAGGUUGCACAGUUGAGCAUCCUGGAGCUCUGGCACAUGGCUUGCCAUUCUCCCCGUCACCUUCAGGGAAAAAGGCCAUCCAGGUGCUCUGCGUCCUGGAGGAGCCAGGAAGAUUUUGGUAGAACAGUAGCUUUGUACAGUUCCGUCACACUCUAGACUAGAGGAGGGGUCUUACAGUGGGUAGUACGCACUCCUGGCUGAAAAUGGCAUAACAUGAACUCUCAAACACUG